AGCUUCUGGAGCCCCAGACAAUGAAAUAUGGACAACACCAAAGAAGACAGCGAUAAUUUCCCAAGUUGAUCUUGAAAAUGUAAGGCUCACAGGGAUUACCUAAACACGACACGAUGCGCACUUCAAUCCGGCUACUCCAAAAUGCCCAACUCACGCUCUUCACACGCGUCCAUUGCUCUCUAUGCGAUACGGCAAAAAACACCAUAGCAAAGCUACGAGAAAGGAAGCCAUUCACAUACUCAGAAAUUGAUGUUAUGACCCCACAAAACAAACGGUGGAAAGACGUUUACGAGUUUGACGUACCCGUUCUGCACGUUCAGCGAGUGCUUUCCACAUCCAAUGGCGGAGGCGAAACUCUAUCAGAUCCAAAAAAGUUAUUUCACCGAUUUACGGAGCAGGAAGUUGAGAAGGCAAUAAAGGAGGUAGAAGAAUUGAUAUAAAAAUUACGAAUAUGUGUGAUUAUGUUGCUACCACCAAAUAUUAAAGUGCAUAUCUACCAUAUCUCGCGCAAGGGACAUUUGACCUCCUUAUAAGCCCGCCCGAGCAGUAUUUAGCGAGUUCGACAGAUGGGCAGGAAGAGCAGCGACGUCGGAAAUCACAGAUAUCUGCAUAUAAACGUCAGCAUCCAAUGCAGGAGGCCGAAAAGGAUAAAGAGAUUUUUGAAUAUAAAAGCCCUGUCCUACCAUGUGAAACCCUUGCUCUGCGUACUUGCUUGCGGAAUCGCCAUCUGCGCUGUAAAUCCCAGCCUUCUUACCGUUGUCGACGGCUGCCUUGCGAAUUCUUUCAAUUGCAGCCACCAAGUCAGGAUGGAAAUCACCCAUAACAGGCCGACUAAUAUUGUUUCCCAGGUCCCACGGACCAACCAACAACACGUCUACUCCUGGAACUUUGGCGAUUUCCUCAACCUAUCCGUUGCACUCGAAUUACCCUAGUCAGCUUGCCAGGCUUUUAAAUACCGUCAAAGGAUGAUUUAGUGGUUGAUAAAAAAAUAUAUCUGCAAACUUCACAUUUUCAAAAGCCUCCUUGGUUUCUAUUUGAACAAUUGUAACCAAGGCUUCAUUUGCCUGAAGCAAAUAGUCCGUUUGAGUAAGAUUCCCAAAUGAGCCCAUGGAAAAUGGGCUUCCAAACCCUCUUCUGCCCAAGGGAGGAAACUUGGCCGAUUCCACUAGUUUCCUUGCAUCGUCUACGGUGUGGAGGAGAGGGACAACAAUUCCAUGGGCUCCUGCGUCCAAGGCACCUAUUCUUGGAAUUAACAAUCACACCAUCUGCGUAUGAUCUGGCUGAUAAGUAAAUCCUUCUGGAAACGGGAUACAUACGCUUAACCAUCCACGACUCGUUAGCAGCAAUUCGCACGACGGGACUGACACCCGUAGCGGCAAUUGCAGCCACGGCUUCGUGCAUUUGGUCAUCUAGAAUCAACAA
rnacentral:sRNA from 1 species